UUUCCCCUGCGGUGUUCGACAGGAUGGUAGAUAUUUGAAGAACCGAUACCCAUAUUUUAGGGAAUCAGAACCUGCCGGCUCGGAAACGCCUGCUUGACAGGACUUUCGAACGCUUGAAGCUGAUUUACCACUUUAAAAUACUGGGUUCUUUAAAUAGCCUUCCAUCGGCACAGGUGGAGGUACC
rnacentral:other from 2 species